rnacentral:rRNA from 1 species
AUACAGAGGGUGCGAGCGUUAAUCGGAUUUACUGGGCGUAAAGCGCGCGUAGGCGGCUUUUUAAGUCGGAUGUGAAAUCCCCGAGCUUAACUUGGGAAUUGCAUUCGAUACUGGGAAGCUAGAGUAUGGGAGAGGAUGGUAGAAUUCCAGGUGUAGCGGUGAAAUGCGUAGAGAUCUGGAGGAAUACCGAUGGCGAAGGCAGCCAUCUGGCCUAAUACUGACGCUGAGGUGCGAAAGCAUGGGGAGCAAACAGGAUUAGAUACCCUGGUAGUCCAUGCCGUAAACGAUGUCUACUAGCCGUUGGGGCCUUUGAGGCUUUAGUGGCGCAGCUAACGCGAUAAGUAGACCGCCUGGGGAGUACGGUCGCAAGACUAAAACUCAAAUGAAUUGGCGGGG